GGCAGCUUUGCAUCUGGCUCCAACGGGAAGCGGAAAACGGGAGGCGGCUCUCGAAGCUUCUCGACCUCCCUGCGCGUCAACUUCUCAGGAGUGGCUGGAGAAAGAUAGAUGCAUGUGCCAAGAGAGACAGCAAGACCAGGUUCAUGUGUCCAAAUCCCUGUAGCCAGGGCGGCGGCCAGCCAGAGAAAUGCCUCCCCAAGCUGGCGCUUGCGGCUCCUGGCAUUCUGGGUUUCAUACCCGUGGGGCUCGGGUGUGAGCGACAAUGGACCGCGAAACAUCCGCGAAGGAGACCAGGAAUCCGACUGAUUGUGGAAAGUGCUCAGCAUCCUCUGUGAGAGCUCCCGCAAAGGACGCUCCACUGAGGCCGGAGGAAAAGCGAGAAGGAGAGGACCGCCCAGCCAUCUCUCUGCGCUGGGCCGCAGGGCACCUGUGCGCCCCCGCC
rnacentral:lncRNA from 1 species